GACGAACGCUGGCGGCGUGCUUAACACAUGCAAGUCGAACGGAAAGGCACUGCUUUUGUGGGGUGCUCGAGUGGCGAACGGGUGAGUAACACGUGAGUAACCUGCCCUUGACUUUGGGAUAACUUCAGGAAACUGGGGCUAAUACCGGAUAGGAGCUCCUGCUGCAUGGUGGGGGUUGGAAAGUUUCGGCGGUUGGGGAUGGACUCGCGGCUUAUCAGCUUGUUGGUGGGGUAGUGGCUUACCAAGGCUUUGACGGGUAGCCGGCCUGAGAGGGUGACCGGCCACAAUGGGACUGAGAUACGGCCCAGACUCCUACGGUAGGCAGCAGUGGGGAAUAUUGCACAAUGGGCGGAAGCCUGAUGCAGCAACGCUGCGGUCGGGAUGACGGCCUUCGGGUUGUAAACCGCUGUCGCCUGUGACGAAGCGUGAGUGACGGUAAUGGGUAAAGAAGCACCGGCUAACUACGUG
rnacentral:rRNA from 1 species